UGCCUACCUGCAAGUCGACGGUUAACCCACCUUCGGGUGGUCAUACAGUGGCGAACGGGUGAGUAACACGUGACCAACCUGCCCCCCUCUCCGGGACAACCUCGGGAAACCGUGGCUAAUACCGGAUGCUCCUUCCCCUCCGCAUGGAGGGGUUGGGAAAGCCCAGGCGGAGGGGGAUGGGGUCGCGGCCCAUCAGGUAGACGGCGGGGUAGCGGCCCACCGUGCUUUCGACGGGUAGCCGGGUUGAGAGACCGACCGGCCACAUUGGGACUGAGAUACGGCCCAGACUCCUACGGGAGGCAGCAGUGGGGAAUUUUGCGCAAUGGGGGAAACCCUGACGCAGCAACGCCGCGUGCGGGAAGACGGCCUUCGGGUUGUAAACCGCUUUCAGCAGGGAAGACCGACGACGGUACCUGCAGAAGAAGCCCCGGCUAACUACGUGCCAGCAGCCGCGGUAAUACGUAGGGGGCGAGCGUUAUCCGGAUUCAUUGGGCGUAAAGCGCGCGUAGGCGGCGCGCCAAGCGGAACCUCUAACCUCGGGGCUCAACCUCGAGCCGGGUUCCGAACUGGCGCGCUCGAGUUCGGUAGAGGCAGGCGGAAUUCCCGGUGUAGCGGUGGAAUG
rnacentral:rRNA from 1 species